GCAGCCGCGGUAAUACGUAGGUGGCAAGCGUUAUCCGGAUUUACUGGGUGUAAAGGGCGUGUAGGCGGGACUGCAAGUCAGAUGUGAAAACCACGGGCUCAACCUGUGGCCUGCAUUUGAAACUGUAGUUCUUGAGUGCUGGAGAGGCAAUCGGAAUUCCGUGUGUAGCGGUGAAAUGCGUAGAUAUACGGAGGAACACCAGUGGCGAAGGCGGAUUGCUGGACAGUAACUGACGCUGAGGCGCGAAAGCGUGGGGAGCAAACAGGAUUAGAUACCCC
rnacentral:rRNA from 1 species